rnacentral:rRNA from 1 species
GACGAACGCUGGCGGCGUGCCUAAUACAUGCAAGUUGAGCGCUGAAGGUUGGUACUUGUACCAACUGGAUGAGCAGCGAACGGGUGAGUAACGCGUGGGGAAUCUGCCUUUGAGCGGGGGACAACAUUUGGAAACGAAUGCUAAUACCGCAUAAAAACUUUAAACACAAGUUUUAAGUUUGAAAGAUGCAAUUGCAUCACUCAAAGAUGAUCCCGCGUUGUAUUAGCUAGUUGGUGAGGUAAAGGCUCGUCAAGGCGAUGAUACAUAGCCGACCUGAGAGGGUGAUCGGCCACAUUGGGACUGAGACACGGCCCAAACUCCUACGGGAGGCAGCAGUAGGGAAUCUUCGGCAAUGGACGAAAGUCUGACCGAGCAACGCCGCGUGAGUGAAGAAGGUUUUCGGAUCGUAAAACUCUGUUGGUAGAGAAGAACGUUGGUGAGAGUGGAAAGCUCAUCAAGUGACGGUAACUACCCAGAAAGGGACGGCUAACUACGUG